rnacentral:lncRNA from 1 species
AAUCCUUGAUCUCUGAGUCACUAGAACUUCUUCUAGGCGUGUGGAAGAGAGAGCACCCAACUUUUGGGUGUGGAAAGGAAGAAAAUGAUGAGAGGAGGUAUGGAGAUGGAGAGAGAGAGAGUUUUGUUGAUCAAAAUUUUAUUCUAUGAAAUCCUAGAGACCACCCUUUAUAUAUAGACACUGCCCUAACACAUAUCAAGAAUCCUAUCAACUUAAAAAGGUAGAUUCUUAUCUCA